UCGAGAAUAUUCCUCAAUGGCCGAAAGGCUGAAGGAGCGACGCCGCGUGCAUGAAGAAGCCCCUCGGGGUGUAAAGUGCUUUUCUCUGGGACGAAACAAUGACGGUACCAGAGGAAUAAGGAGCUGCUAAACUCGUGCCAGCAGCAGCGGUAAUACGAGUGCUCCAAGCGUUAUCCGGAUUUAUUGGGCGUAAAGCGUACGUAGGUGGUUUAUCGCAUCUCCUGUUAAAUCCCGAGGCCUAACCUCGGGGCUGCGGGAGAGAUGGGUAAGCUAGAGACCGGAAGAGGCAAAUAGAAUUGCUGGUGUAGGGGUUAAAUCCGUUAAUAUCAGCAGGAAUACCUAAUGCGAAAGCAGUUUGCUGGAACGGUUCUGACACUAAGGUACGAAAGCGUGGGGAGCG
rnacentral:rRNA from 1 species